rnacentral:antisense_RNA from 1 species
GUAGAAGCUGCCGCAGGCUGCGAUCUUUUGAUGUUGAUCGUUAAACACAAGAUCAAAAGAUCGCAGCCUGCGGCAGCUCCUAC